GCCGUGCUUGUUACAAACGGCAGUUUAGCCAGGCAGCUAAGACGGUGAGCGUUGACGAGGAUUUUAGUGUCGCAGCACUCACCUCCCAUGAGGAAGAGCAGGCCGGCUACGUACUGCAUGAGUCCCCGGUCCCAGCAGCAGCCGAGCACCCCGAUUAGCCAGCCGAACAGGAUUAUGGCCACGGCCAUGCCCAUGAACCCCGCCGUCAUCCGCCGGAGGUCUGCGGGAAAGCGAGUGAAUUUACAUCAUCCUAAAGCUCCGACGGAGAAGAGUGAGAGGGUGAUGGAUAGGACGGUGUGCUGCAGGUUUCACACACAACAGAAGUCCAGGCUCCCGCUCAGGGAACCAAUCACACAGCUCUUCCGGUCGUAGGUGAUGACACGGUGAACAUUCAUCUCCUGCCAGCACGCUUCUGAACUCAGAGACUGGACAGCUGUGGGGUCCUUUUUCUGAAUGGGACUGUGCCAUUCCGACAGCACGGGGCGAUGGGAACUGUCGUAGAAUGUUUCUAAUGUGAUUUUUGA